rnacentral:rRNA from 1 species
CAGCCUGAUCGCAUGCCGCGUGUGUGAAGAAGGCCUUCGGGUUGUAAAGCACUUUCAGCGAGGAAGAAAUGCUUAAAGUUAAUACCUUUAAGAGUUGACGUUACUCGCAGAAGAAGCACUGGCUAACUCUGUGCCAGCAGCCGCGGUAAUACAGAGAGUGCAAGCGUUAAUCGGAAUUACUGGGCGUAAAGCGCGCGUAGGUGGAUUGUUAAGUCGAAUGUGAAAGCCCCGGGCUCAACCCGGGAACUGCAUUCGAUACUGGCAGUCUAGAGUAUGGUAGAGGGAAGUGGAAUUUCCGGUGUAGUGGUGAAAUACGUAGAUAUCGGAAGGAACACCAGUGGCGAAGGCGGCUUCCUGGACCAAUACUGACACUGAGGUGCGAAAGCGUGGGUAGCAAACAGGAUUAGAGACCCUGGUAGUCCACGCCGUCAACGAUGAUAACUAGGCGUUGGGAAGUUUACUUCUUAGUGCCGUAGCUAACGCGUUAAGUUAUCCGCCUGGGGAGUACGGUCGCAAGAUUAAAACUCAAAGGAAUUGACGGGGGCCCGCACAAGCGGUGGAGCAUGUGGUUUAAUUCGAUGCAACGCGAAGAACCUUACCUACCCUUGACAUCCUCGGAAUCUUCUAGAGAUAGAAGAGUGCCUUCGGGAACCGAGUGACAGGUGCUGCAUGGCUGUCGUCAGCUCGUGUCGUGAGAUGUUGGGUUAAGUCCCGUAACGAGCGCAACCCUUGUCCUUAGUUGCCAGCGAUUCGGUCGGGAACUCUAAGGAGACUGCCGGUGAUAAACCGGAGGAAGGUGGGGACGAUGUCAAGUCAUCAUGGCCCUUACGGGUAGGGCUACACACGUGCUACAAUGGGGCAGUACAAAGAGUCGCAAUACC